AGGAUUAACGCUGGCGGCGUGCCUGACACAUGCAAGUCGAACGAGGCCGCAAGGCCGAGUGGCGGACGGGUGAGUAACACGUGACCAACCAACCUCGAAGUUGGGAAUAGCUCUGCGAAAGUAGGGGUAAUACCGAAUGUGGCCCAGGGCGGGCAUCCGCCUUGGUCUAAAGAUUCAUCGCUUCGAGACGGGGUCGCGGCCUAUUAGCUUGUUGGUGAGGUAACGGCUCACCAAGGCGAUGAUGGGUAGCUGGUCUGAGAGGACGACCAGCCACACUGGGACUGAGACACGGCCCAGACUCCUACGGGAGGCAGCAGUGAGGAAUCUUCCGCAAUGGGCGAAAGCCUGACGGAGCAACGCCGCGUGUGGGAUGAAGACUCUAGGGUUGUAAACCACUGUCGGAGGGGACGAUCGUGACGGUACCCUCAAGAAAGCCCCGGCUAACUACGCGCCAGCAGCCGC
rnacentral:rRNA from 1 species